rnacentral:sRNA from 1 species
UGAAUAGCAGAAUUCAGUGAAUCAUCGAAUCUUUGAACGCACCUUGCGCUCCUUGGUAUUCCGAGGAGCAUGCCUGUUUGAGUGUCAUGAAAUUCUCAACCGCCCCAAGCUCUUUGUGGGUCAGGUUGGAUCUUGGAGGACAUUGCUGGUGCGUGCUCCGUGCACGCUUGUCGGCUCCUCUUGAAUGCAUGAGCUUUCCAGUCCUUGGCAAAGUAUCGUCGAUGUGAUAGUUAUCUGCGUCGUCCGAGAAAAGCCGUGCAAGGGGAAAUCUACGAUUGUAUCGGCCCUUCGGGGUUCCGUGUCUGACAAAUUCGACCUCAAAUCAGGUAGGACUACCCGCUGAACUUAAGCAUAUCAAUAAGCGG